rnacentral:rRNA from 1 species
UAUNGGUCAAUGGACGCGAGUCUGAACCAGCNAAGUAGCGUGUAGGAUGACUGCCCUUUGGGUUGUAAACUUCUUUUAUAUGGGAAUAAAGUUUUCCUCGUGUGGAAUUUUGUAUGUACUAUAUGAAUAAGGAUCGGCUAACGUCGUGCCAGCAGCCGCGGUAAUACGGAGGAUCCGAGCGUUAUCCGGAUUUAUUGGGUUUAAAGGGAGCGUAGGUGGAUUGUUAAGUCAGUUGUGAAAGUUUGCGGCUCAACCGUAAAAUUGCAGUUGAAACUGGCAGUCUUGAGUACAGUAGAGGUGGGCGGAAUUCGUGGUGUAGCGGUGAAAUGCUUAGAUAUCACGAAGAACUCCGAUUGCGAAGGCAGCUCACUGGACUGUUGACUGACACUGAGGCUCGAAAGUGUGGGUAUCAAACAG